rnacentral:sRNA from 1 species
UUUAUAAUUUAGAAUUCUCAGAGCUGGAAAACUGAAGUCAUUAACCAUCACAUUGUGAUUAUAAUACUUCCCAGUGUAUUAAAUAGGGUUUUCUUAGAUGCGAUUGUAUCUCUUGUUGGUCUGGCCCAAACAGAAGGCCAACAGACAAAAGCUCUUUUUACCGACUCAUCAACGAAAGUCCCCGCAACUCUUGAUCAUUUCAAACAAAUGAUGUUGGACGACGUUUUGAAAUACCUGGGAAAUGUGCCAAUCAAGUUCGAAGCCUUUAGAGGUGUCAACUUGCAAUGCCAGAAUAGUUUACUGAAGUUGUUUAUUUUCUUAAUUGAAGAGUGACAUAUUUUUUUGUAUAGGCAAUUAACUUUUCAAACUAGUGGAAGAAAUGAAAUUCUAUAACUUAGAAAAUCCUAUAAAUCCUAUCUUUAGUUGUUGUUCUGGUAAAGGAAAACAAAAAUUAUAAACAGAUGAAAUAUACGAAAACAAAAAAAGUUAAAAUGAAUGAAAAUGAAUUGUGUGUAUGUGUGUGUGUGUGUGUGUGUGUUUAUCGUUGAAAUAAUAUUUUUUUAGGAAAAAUAAAUAAAAAUUGUAUAACGAAUUAGAAACUGAAACAAAAAACAAAACAAUGAGAUCUCCCUUAUGUUCUGACAUCGUUCAUGGUAUAGCUUAUGUUUUAUUAAAGAACAAUUUGCAACAUUUUUGGCCAAAACUCGUUGUGUCCCAAUAUUCUUUGAAAAAACAAAAAGGGGGUUUGGAGGAUUGAUCAAAAUUAUAAAAUUAAAAGUCGUGAAGAAAGACGUUUCCGGAGUUCUUUGUUUACAGUUAAAAGUAAAUACACAACUUACACUACAGAAUAUAAUAUGAACAUUGUCGCAAAUAUAUAUAUCCGGAUAUGACCCGCGCCCUGCCUCCUUAGUUUGGGCAUUACUAAUGUCAAACAUAAAUUGUUUACUUUACAUUUUUUUUAAAUUUUGCCACUGAAAUGAAAGUAGUGUGAAAAUGGGUUCAGCCGUUCAGCCGACACACUCAUAACAAAUAUAAAAUACUGUGAAAACGGGUUUACCCGAUUUGUUGGUUUCGUUCUUAUGAUAAAGAUACAUAUAUCUUACUUUCUGCUUUAUAUGUUUACAUAUAUUGACCAUGUAUAUUUAGAUACAAAUGUGGACAAGUUCUUGAUUUAUAUUAGUUUAUAGAUCUACCAGAUAGAUUUACGUAACCUAUAAAGAAAUAUAAAUAAAUGGAAUACUGUUAUCGAUGUAAA